rnacentral:tRNA from 1 species
GAGGGUAUAGCUCAGUGGUGGAGGGUAUAUCUAGCAUGCACGAGGUCCUGGGUUCAAUCCCCAGUACUUCCA